rnacentral:rRNA from 1 species
UGGGGAAUAUUGCACAAUGGGCGCAAGCCUGAUGCAGCCAUGCCGCGUGUGUGAAGAAGGCCUUCGGGUUGUAAAGCACUUUCAGCGAGGAGGAAGGUGGUGAGCUUAAUACGCUCAUCAAUUGACGUUACUCGCAGAAGAAGCACCGGCUAACUCCGUGCCAGCAGCCGCGGUAAUACGGAGGGUGCAAGCGUUAAUCGGAAUUACUGGGCGUAAAGCGCACGCAGGCGGUUUGUUAAGUCAGAUGUGAAAUCCCCGGGCUCAACCUGGGAACUGCAUUUGAAACUGGCAAGCUAGAGUCUCGUAGAGGGGGGUAGAAUUCCAGGUGUAGCGGUGAAAUGCGUAGAGAUCUGGAGGAAUACCGGUGGCGAAGGCGGCCCCCUGGACGAAGACUGACGCUCAGGUGCGAAAGCGUGGGGAGCAAACAGGAUUAGAUACCCCUGGUAGUCCACGCUGUAAAACGAUGUCGAUUUUGGAGGUUGUGCCCUUGAGGCGUGGCUUCCGGAGCUAACGCGUUAAAUCGACCGCCUGGGGAGUACGGCCGCAAGGUUAAAACUCAAAGGAAUUGC